AGAGCGGCGGACUGGUGAGUAACGCGUGGGUAAUCUGCCUUUGGCAUGGGGAUAGCCACUAGAAAUAGUGGGUAAUACCGAAUACGUUCCUGUGGGGGAGUGCUGCAGGAAGAAAGGGUGCUACGGCACCGGCCGAAGAUGAGCUCGCGUCCCAUUAGCCUGUUGGUGAGGUAACGGCCCACCAAGGCGAUGAUGGGUAGCCGGCCUGAGAGGGUGUACGGCCACCCUGGGACUGAGAUACGGCCCAGACUCCUACGGGAGGCAGCAGCUAAGAGUAUUCCGCAAUGGACGAAAGUCUGACGGAGCGACGCCGCGUGGAUGAAGAAGGCCGAAAGGUUGUAAAAUCCUUUUGCUGAGGAAGAAUAAGUGUGGGAGGGAAUGCCCGCAUGAUGACAUGAAUCGGCGAAUAAGCCCCGGCCAACUACGUGCCAGCAGCCGCGGUAACACGUAGGGGGCGAGCGUUGUUCGGAAUUACUGGGCGUAAAGGGCAUGUAGGCGGUUUGGUAAGCCUGGCGUGAAAGACCGCAGCUUAACUGCGGGGAUGCGUUGGGAACUGCUGAGCUUGAGUUAUGGAGAGGGAGCUGGAAUUCCUGGUGUAGGGGUGAAAUCUGUAGAUAUCAGGAAGAACACCGAUGGCGAAGGCA
rnacentral:rRNA from 1 species